UUAAUUGAAGCCAAAAAGAGGCAUCCCAUUGUUAAUGAGAUCAUUGGUUAUUAAACCCAAUUAAA
rnacentral:tRNA from 1 species